rnacentral:rRNA from 7 species
GGGCAAUCUGCCCUGCACUCUGGGACAAGCCCUGGAAACGGGGUCUAAUACCGGAUACUCACUGCCUUGGGCAUCCUUGGUGGUGGAAAGCUCCGGCGGUGCAGGAUGAGCCCGCGGCCUAUCAGCUAGUUGGUGAGGUAAUGGCUCACCAAGGCGACGACGGGUAGCCGGCCUGAGAGGGCGACCGGCCACACUGGGACUGAGACACGGCCCAGACUCCUACGGGAGGCAGCAGUGGGGAAUAUUGCACAAUGGGCGAAAGCCUGAUGCAGCGACGCCGCGUGAGGGAUGACGGCCUUCGGGUUGUAAACCUCUUUCAGCAGGGAAGAAGCGAGAGUGACGGUACCUGCAGAAGAAGCGCCGGCUAACUACGUGCCAGCAGCCGCGGUAAUACGUAGGGCGCAAGCGUUGUCCGGAAUUAUUGGGCGUAAAGAGCUCGUAGGCGGCUUGUCACGUCGGUUGUGAAAGCCCGGGGCUUAACCCCGGGUCUGCAGUCGAUACGGGCAGGCUAGAGUUCGGUAGGGGAGAUCGGAAUUCCUGGUGUAGCGGUGAAAUGCGCAGAUAUCAGGAGGAACACCGGUGGCGAAGGCGGAUCUCUGGGCCGAUACUGACGCUGAGGAGCGAAA